UACGAAGGGGGCUAGCGUUGUUCGGAUUUACUGGGCGUAAAGCGCACGUAGGCGGAUCGUUAAGUUAGAGGUGAAAUCCCGGAGCUCAACUCCGGAACUGCCUUUAAUACUGGCAAUCUAGAGUCCGGAAGAGGUAGGUGGAACUCCUAGUGUAGAGGUGGAAUUCGUAGAUAUUAGGAAGAACACCAGUGGCGAAGGCGGCUUACUGGUCCGGUACUGACGCUGAGGUGCGAAAGCGUGGGGAGCAAACAGG
rnacentral:rRNA from 1 species